CUCUGUGGUUCAGAAGUUGGAGUCAGCCUCAGCGGGGGUGGGGCAUUCCUGCUCCACUCGGUGUCCCUUGGAAACUUUAACUAGGACACCAGGGAUGGCUGGGGAGGCUGGCCCUCUCUCACCUCAUGGCUUCAUCCUCCAGGAGGCCAGGGGGUGAUUUCUACUGCUUUCUGGGGAUUCUGGGUUAUAAGAGAGAGAGGAUGAAGCUAUGAGGACAAGUAGGCUCAGAAGUCCCAGACUGUCACCUCAGCCUUUGUUCGUCAAAGCAAGUCGCAAGACUGGUCUGCACUCAAGGAGUAGAGAAAUAGACUCAUUCUCUUGAUAAGAGGAGCUGCAAAGGAUUUGUGAUUAUUUUCAAUCUGUAACAGCAACCCUCCCCCAAAUUCAUUGUCUUAUAAAGGACCAAUUAGGCAUAAACUCUUCUGAUUCUAAAAUAAUCAUCUUUCCCUGGCCUUGUCCAACCUCUUGUUAUUUGAUUAGUGCUUGUCAAUUAACAAAUUGCUUUCAUGUUCUGUAUUCCAUUUAUCUACACAACAAACUUUUGAAGUAUGUCAUUUCCUAUUUUCAGAUAAAGGAUUAGAAGUCCAGCAUCCCACAGCUAUGAAACAGGGGUACCUCAAGUCCUGUCCUUGUCCUCUGUGCUCUUCUUAUGAGGAAUUCCAUUUAUUUCAAGAGUGGAAGAGGAUGUCGAGAAAGAGCUGCUGCACUCAGAGAGUGACUGGGCGUACAUGGAGGACAAGAAAGUGCAGAGAGAAAGGAGGGAAAAGCAGGCUCCAGACAGCGUGGAGAGGCACCAGAUUAACCCUGAGGAACUGGCUCCAGACCAGACUCUUUUGUAUGAGGUAAUAAGUCUUCUGAGCUACAUUUUGUCAGGUUUUCUGUAGUUUGCUAUGGAAAACAUCUUGCUUGGGUAAUAAGCAAAA
rnacentral:lncRNA from 1 species